AGUGAACGCUGGCGGUAGGCCUAACACAUGCAAGUCGAACGGCAGCACAGUAAGAGCUUGCUCUUACGGGUGGCGAGUGGCGGACGGGUGAGGAAUACAUCGGAAUCUACUUUUUCGUGGGGGAUAACGUAGGGAAACUUACGCUAAUACCGCAUACGACCUACGGGUGAAAGCAGGGGAGCUUCGGACCUUGCGCGAUUGAAUGAGCCGAUGUCGGAUUAGCUAGUUGGCGGGGGAAAGGCCCACCAAGGCGACGAUCCGUAGCUGGUCUGAGAGGAUGAUCGGCCACACUGGAACUGAGACACGGUCCAGACUCCUACGGGAGGCAGCAGUGGGGAAUAUUGGACAAUGGGCGCAAGCCUGAUCCAGCCAUACCGCGUGGGUGAAGAAGGCCUUCGGGUUGUAAAGCCCUUUUGUUGGGAAAGAAAAGCAGCAGGUUAAUACCCCGCUGUUCUGACGGUACCCAAAGAAUAAGCACCGGCUAACUUCGUG
rnacentral:rRNA from 1 species